UGGAAAACAACUCCACCCACAAAUCUUGAUCCCCCAACACGGCUCGCCUACAUCCCUGUGACGUGUGUGUUCCUAUCCAAAGCUCCUCGAUUCUCGACCGUCGGGUUGAUCCCCAAGCUUUAAGAACUCUCUCCUCAACCUCUGCUUCCGUAUUCCUAGUUUCCAACAUUCAGAGCAGGACGGACAGAUACGAUUCCUUUCCCACCUCCAUGGCCGCUGAGACGCAUGCAGACCACCUGCAGAUUGAUCAUGAAGAUGAUCAUGGGGGGAGUCCGAUGCCCUCGACAUGAGCUCACUCAGGACCUUCCUUCCCCGCAAAAGAGGGCUUUCCAAGUAUUUUUCGGGUAGAUCGCAGUCCUUUUCGUGCAUUUCUGACGUUAAUUGUGUUGAGGACCUUGAGAAGCCUGAGUAUCGUUGUGCAAAGAGGAGGAAGAAAUACAGCAGCAAUGAGAGCCUCUUCCUGCCUCCUCCUGCUUGCAGGCUGGUGUUGAGCACCCCUUGCAGGCCUUGCGUCGGCGUGUAGAUUGAUUGAAGAAACCUGAUUAUUUUGUGCACCAGCGGAAUUUUCAAGCGCUGGUCACGGAGUAAUGUGAUUAUUAACAAUUGUUCGUAUCUCAAUCUGGAAGCUGCGGAGAUGCACACACUACAGGAGGCGAGGAAUUUGAUCACAGAUUUUGAUUCUGCAUACAAGAAGUAAUUUGGUUAAAAUUUUCUUGUACAGAUUUGCCUCUACAGAAGGGGACCUAUUCCCCAGAAAGGUUACAUCGAAGAUCUACUUCUGCAACUUUAUUUCUUGCUGACUCUGAUUGUUUCUCAGUUGAGAUGGAGAAUAGCUAAAGAAUCCGCUUCCGAAAGCAA